rnacentral:tRNA from 1 species
UCCUCGUAGUAUAACAAUUACCCUGGUCUUGUAACCCAAAAAUGAAGUGCAAUUCUUCNUAGGACA